AACUUUUGAAGCUUCGGCCGAUGAAGGAAUUGGAUUUUGCAGGGAGCGGCGAACGGGUGAGUAACACGUUGGUAACCUACCUCGUACUCAGGGACAACAUCGAGAAAUCGGUGCUAAUACCGGAUAGCCAUGGGGGGAUAUAAAGUCAUUCCCAUGUAAAGCUUCGGCGGUACGAGAGGGGCCUGCGGCCUAUCAGGUAGUUGGUGGGGUAAUAGCCUACCAAGCCUACGACGGGUAGCUGGUGUGAGAGCACGACCAGUCACAAUGGGACAGAGACACGGCCCAUACUCCUACGGGAGGCAGCAGUCGGGAGUAUUCCACAAUGGACGAAAGUCUGAUGGAGCGACACCGCGUGCGGGAUGACGGCCUUCGGGUUGUAAACCGCUUUUAUGGACUAGAAAUUUUGAUCAAUCUAUGAAUAAGUGGCGGCUAAUCACGUGCCAGAAGCCUCGGUAAAACGUGAGCCACGAGCGUUAUCCGGAAUUACUGGGCGUAAAGCGUCCGCAGCCGGAUUAAUUAGUCAGAUGUUAAAUUACAGGGCUCAAUUCUGUAUUCGUAUCUGAAACUGUUAAUCUAGAGCAAGUCAGAGACCAGCGGAAUUUCUGGAGUAGGAGUGAUAUCCGUAGAUACCAGAAGGAACACCAAAAGCGAAGGCAGCUGGUUGGGGCUUUGCUGACGGUCAGGGACGAAAGUGUGGGGAGCAAAAAGGAUUAGAUACCCUUGUAGUCCACACUGUAAACGAUGGGUGCUCGGCGUUGCGAUCUCGACAAUCGCAGUGCCUAAGCUAACGCGUUAAGCACCCCGCCUGUGAAGUACGGCCGCAAGGCUAAAACAUAAAGGAAUAGACGGGGACCCACACAAGCGGUGGAGCGUGCUGUUUAAUUCGAAGCUAAACGUAGAACCUCACCAGGACUUGACAUCCUCGGAAUCUUCUAGAGAUAGAAGAGUGCCUUCGGGAACCGAGUGACAGGUGCUGCAUGGUCGUCGUCAGCUCGUGCCUUGAGGUGUCGAGUUAAGUCUUUGAACGAGCGCAACCCUCAUCGUGUGUUGUAUUUUUCACACGAGACUGCCGUCGUAAGGCGGAGGAAGGAGAGGAUGACGUCAGAUCUGCAUGGCCCUUAUGUCCUGGGCAACUGGCGCGCUACAAUGGCUAGUACAAUGAGCAGCGAUCCCGCGAGGGGGAGCCAAUCUAUAAAGCUAGUCUCAGUCCGGAUUGGAGUCUGCAACUCGACUCCAUGAAGUUGGAAUCGCUAGUAAUCGUAAAUCAGAAUGUUACGGUGAAUGUGUCCCUGGGUCUUGUACUCACCGCCCAUCAACGCAUGGAAGCUGGAGGUGCCCGAAGUCUGUGCUUUUGCAUGGCCUAAGGCAAAAUCAGUGACUGGGCGUAAGUUGUAACAAGGCA
rnacentral:rRNA from 1 species